ensembl:misc_RNA Y_RNA Y RNA
GGCUGGCCCGAUGGCAGUGGGUUAUCAGAACUUAUUAACAUUAGUGUCACUAAAAUUGGUAUACCACCCCCCUCACUGCUAAAUUUGACUGGCUUUAA